UACGGACAUAUCACAUUGAAACACCGGUUGUCGUACGAUCACUGAAGUUAAGCAACGUUGAGCCUGGUCAGUACCUAGAGGGAUGACUGCUUGGGAAUAAAGGUUGCUGCAAG